rnacentral:rRNA from 1 species
CAAUAGCGUAUAUUAAAGUUGUUGCAGUUAAAAAGCUCGUAGUUGGAUUUCUGGUCGGAGCGACCGGUCGGCGUCCUUUGUGGCGUGUGCACUGUUGUCGGCUCCGUCCAUCCUAGUGGGAAGGCGCGUGGGCAUUCAUUUGUUCGCGCGUGGCCCCGCUACGUUUACUGUGAAAAAAUUAGAGUGUUUAAAGCAGGCGUUCGCUGUGAAUACAUUAGCAUGGAAUAAUGAGAUAGGACUUUGGUACUAUUUUGUUGGUUUGCGCACCAAGGUAAUGAUUAAUAGGGAUAGUUGGGGGCAUUCGUAUUUAAUUGUCAGAGGUGAAAUUCUUGGAUUUGUUAAAGACGGACUAUUGCGAAAGCAUUUGCCAAGGAUGUUUUCAUUGAUCAAGAACGAAAGUUAGGGAUCGAAGACGAUUAGAUACCAU